rnacentral:rRNA from 1 species
AAUAUUGGACAAUGGGCGAAAGCCUGAUCCAGCCAUCCCGCGUGUAGGAUGAAGGCCUUCGGGUUGAACAGCACUUUUGACAGGGAAGAAACGACACCACCUAAUACGUGAUGUUAAUGACGGUACCUGUAGAAUAAGCACCGGCUAACUACGUGCCAGCAGCCGCGGUAAUACGUAGGGUGCAAGCGUUAACCGGAAUUACUGGGCGUAAAGGGUACGCAGGCGGCUAGGAAAGAAAGAUGUGAAAUCCCAGGGCUCAACCUUGGAACUGCAUUUUUAACUGCCGAGCUAGAGUAUGUCAGAGGGGGGUAGAAUUCCACGUGUAGCAGUGAAAUGCGUAGAUAUGUGGAGGAAUACCGAUGGCGAAGGCAGCCCCCUGGGAUAAUACUGACGCUCAGACACGAAAGCGUGGGGAGCAAACA